rnacentral:rRNA from 1 species
GUGCCAGCAGCCGCGGUAAUACCGGCAGCCCGAGUGAUGGCCGAUCUUAUUGGGCCUAAAGCGUCCGUAGCUGGCCGCGCAAGUCCAUCGGAAAAUCCACCCGCCCAACGGGUGGGCGUCCGGUGGAAACUGUGUGGCUUGGGACCGGAAGGCGCGACGGGUACGUCCGGGGUAGGAGUGAAAUCCCGUAAUCCCGGACGGACCGCCGGUGGCGAAAGCGCCUCGGGAGGACGGAUCCGACGGUGAGGGACGAAAGCUAGGGUCUCGAACCGGAUUAGAUACCCCUGUAGUCC